UACCUAUUCCCUAUUCCAUUUAUCACACCACAUGCCCACUGAAUCUAUCUCUUUACUCACUAACACCUUUCACCAUCUUCUUUUUAAAAUAUCCACUCACUCGUUUCUCUCUCUACACCACGUGUUUUUCAAACCCAUUGUUUUUCACUCAUUAAACCCAUUCCCCUCACCCUUGCAUGGCCACACCAACCUCUCUACCCAUCCAUCAUAUCCUCAUACAUGCAUGGUUCCCAUCUGUACCCAUUUCUCUUACCAAUCAUCUUUCUCAUUUUCCAAGUCUACAUAUCUAUCACCUCACCACUAACCCAUUUUUCAUCACCCUUCAUAUCCCCAUAUACGUCACCAUACCCGCCAUCCACCAUUCAUUCCAUACCUUCCAUUGCAUGCUCCGCCACACUCAUGACCACCAAAGAAGUGACACAGAGAAGGAUCGGUGAUGGCAUGCAAAAGUUCUUCUAUCAGGCGUCAAUGAGAGCUCGGUAUUUUGUCAUGAGAAUUCACUAUAUUCAUUAAAUAAAAAAAAUAAAAAUAAAAAACUCCAGGGGCAGCUAGUAGCUGGGCAAGAGGAGACAUUCCAGUGGCAGAUUCACGUAAGUGCUAGACAAGAGCAACUUUUGACCAUAACGUGCAUUUACCGCUUGGAAUAUAUGUGGCCAUGGUUAAAAAAGGAUCGAAUUAAAAGAAUGUAUUUAAUUAAAUAUAUUGUGACAUUAUUAGAGAUGGUGGAUUUGAAGUAAUUAAGAUUUAAUAUAUGAUUAAUGCGGAGUUGACGAAGAGAACAUCAUGCAUGACCAUCCAUCAAUGUAUAACUAAGCAAUAGAUGAUAUUUACACAUGACAUGACUUUACUAGUAGUUUAUUACUUUUCUUUUAAUAUUUAUUUCAUGUUGAAUUAUUAGAAUCAAGGAAAAUAUGAUACAAAGAAUUUUUUAAACGUAGAGGUGAACUUGUAUGACCUUAUUUGUCCUUCCAUGAGUGAAAUCAUCAUCUAAAGUCAUUUAUAUAGAUUUGUCUCUUUUAUAUCUAGUCAAAAUUAUGCUUAUUCAAAUUGGGGUUGGAAAACUUCUCUAGCCAAAGAAUCAACUUCAAUGUGGAGAAGACAUAAUGACCUUUUUUUAUUAUUUAUUUUUUCUUAAUUUCCUUAUUUCUUUUAAAAUCAACUUCUUUGUUGUUUGGGAAGAAAAUUAAACAAAAUUAAUUAAUAAUUAAUUAUCACAACUUUUCUAACAUUUUCAUACAUUAUAAAAAAAAUCCUAGUAGAAAAUUUAAUAUUAUAUAAAAAUUUAUGAAAAUAUUGAAACAAAAAACUUACAAGGCAACACCCUAUACCAAGAUAUUGAGUAUCUGAAAGCAUCCAUUCUCAAUUCUUUCAUUGUAUGCACAUCUUCCUAUUAAAUUCAAAUAUGUAAAUAAAUAUCACCAUAAUUUUUAUAAUAUUAAUGAAAGAAAAAUGAAAAGGAAAAGAUAAUACGAGGAAUUCCAAACCUUAUAACAAUGAUAGAAAUCAUUUGCAACAUCACCAUUGCUACCAUCCAUUAUCCUAGCUAUAUUGUUAACACAAAAAAGUUAAGAAAUAUAAUUAAUUUUUUUAUAUAUCAAUAUAUAAUAUAAUUAUUCAUUAAUUAGGUUCUAAUCUUAUCUAAAUUAUUUUUAAUGCUUUUAAAUCCAUAUUGAUUAUUGAAUUAGAAAAGUUAUCAAGUCAUAAUUCACUAGCUAGUUGGGACGAUGGUUCAAUUGUGAACAAAUAAUGAUUCAAUAUGAUUUUUGAAAAUUAUAAUUUAUAUAUUCUUACAUAAAAAUAUAUAAUUUUAAAUUUAUAUUUAUGUAAAUAAUUAUAAUUUAUAACAUUUAUUUGUUUAUAAAUUAAAUUAAUUUUUAAUAUAAUUUCAAAAAAUAAAAAAAUUAAACCAGGAUGGUGGGUUCUUCUAUUGAUCCAUCUGCCCACUUCACUUAAUUUUUCAUUUUAUCUUUUUGGGAUGAAGAUUAUCAUAUCUCAACUUCGUAUUCUUGUCAUCAUUUGCAAUCACUUCCUAAUAGCAAAACCUAAACUAUUUUAAGUACUCUUUUUCUUAGAGAAAAAUAAAAAAAUAAAAAAUAAAAAUUUAAUAAUAAAAGUUUUUGUCAUUAUCUUACUUGCUUUUUCUUUUCAAAAAAUAUAAAUUAUUAUUAAUAUUAUUAUUAUUAUUAUUUUGACUUUUAAGUUUUAAAACUCAAAUGUUAUCCUAAACCUUCAAGCUUAAAUCCAAACACAAUCAUCAUAAACUUUUUGUGUUAAAAAAAGUCAGGAAAAUUAUUCAACUCAAAGAGAGACCUGGGUAUUUACGACUGAAAGUAUCCCAUAUACUAGGACCUCUGCCACCUUCGUUUGCUAUGAGUCAUAUUAAUUUAUAUACUGAAAGUCAGGAAAAUCCAUGCACAGAACAUAUUAAUUUAUAUUAAAAAUAAGAAAAUGAUAUGAUAUAGAAUACACAGCAUAUCAAACUUCAAACUUGAACAUUUGAAAUAUACGGAAAAAAUGGGUUUAGAAUAUAAAAAAAUGGAAUUUAGAUCUAAAGCAAUCACACCAUUGCAUGGUACAAAUUAAAGUGAUUUUUGAUAAUGUGGCAAGUUGUGAUUGGUCUUCACUAUUAUCUAUAAAAGUUGUUUUUUGAUACCAUGAAAAUGUCAGAUCUCUAUUAUGAACAUACUAAAAAAAACAAAAAAAAGUUGUAAUAGAUUAAAAUUAAUCUAUGAAUCCGUAAAAAUAUCUCCUUGCUUGAUAAGUAGCCGAACCUGUUCCAAAAAUGAAACCGGCCGAAAACUACUUCGAUUGAAGGAGGCAGCUACCACUGGCUCAGUCCAAGCCAAUGAGCUAACCAGGAUUAGUAGGCCUAGUGGUAAUGAGCACUGAUGAGUUGCUAUGAGUAGCUGUGGUUUCAAGGUUCAUCUUCACUCCCUUUAUAUAGAUCCAAAUUAGAGGAAAUCAAUCAAUUAAUGUGACAUUUUUACUAACUCUCCAAUUGAAGGAGUCAGCUACCACUGGCUCAGUCCAAGCCAAUGAGCUAACCAGGAUUAGUAGGCCUAGGAGUAAUGAGCAGUACUGAUAAGUUGCCAUGAGUAGUUGUGGUUUCAAGUUUCAUCUUCACUCUCUUUGUAUAGAUCCAAAUUAGAGGAAAUCAAUCCAUUAAUUAUGUGACAUUUUUUAUGUGAAAAUUUUAUCCAUAGGCAUAUUAUAUAUUGCUAUCAAAGUAUGGCUAGAACUGAUAAGAGGACUUGUCAAAAUGAGACAAUUAUAUAUUUAGAAACAUCUUAUACAUCUCCUAUGGAUGUAUAAGAUGUUUUUCAUAAUUGCAAAAAAAUCAAAGUUUUUUUGCAAUUAUGAAAAACUUGAAUACCAAUAACAAAAUGUUAAACCUUUUAGUGAAAAAUAAAAAUUGAGAGCAAAACCCUAAUAGCAAACAAAUUAAUUUGUUUUAAAAAAAGAAUUAAAAUCCAUGCUACUUUGAACUGAGAUAAGAUAAUGGAAACACUAAUCUAUCCUCAUGAAAUUAGACUUCCUUAAAUUAAAUGGUAAAGUACAUAAUGUUAUUUGAUCCUUGAUCCGUGAAAGUAGAGGAAUGAAUGAAACUUAAUUAAAAACUAAUUCGAUACGUAAUUAACAAGAUAUUAUUUUGUCCAAUUUUAACUACAAGAAAAAAAGCUUAUCUUUCUAAUAACAAUAAUAGGUAAUGGCAGCCAUGGGUGAGGCUGUGAGGGAGAUGGAGAGGGUGACUGUGUCGGCAAUGGUCCGUUGUGGACUGAAUGAAGCUGGGUGUGGUGAUGGAGAUGGAGCCGGAGAGAGAGAGGAAGCAACAACUUGGGAGGUGACGAUGCAUGGACUGUGAGGGCAUAAUGGAGAUGAGAAGUGGCAGCGCGUGGUGAGGCGAGAUGAAGGAUGUAGGUGGCAGCCAUGGUGAUCGUUGAUCAGUGGUUUUGGCUAGUCAGGAAGAGGAGUUGGAGAUGGUGGAGUUUUAAGGUGGACGGUGGUGAGAGCGACGGCCAUGGAAGGGUGAUAGCAGAGAGGUGAUAGUGUGUACUGGUAAUGGAGAUGGCGGGCAAGAGCAAAGAGAGAAGCAGAGGAAGAAAAUAAAAAAAUCCAAGAAAGAAAGAAGAACCAGGGAGAAGGAGGGGGGGCCGGUCUCUUGCCGGACGGAGAGAGCCUUCUUUAAUUACUUAUAACUUGAUUCUCCUGAUUUUCUGUUUUCCAAAAAAUUCUGAUUUUCCUUCUAAUUCUAUUUCUUCCUCAAAAGUAAAGUAAAUAAGGUAAAAUUAAGGAAAAUAAAACAAUAAACAAAAAUAAAAAAUAAAAUAAAUACAAUAAUAAAAAUACACAACGCCUUAUUGCUUCAAAAGAAGCUCCCAUCGAAGUUCACUAUGAAUCUUUGGGUACCUAUCAUGAGAUUUAUGGGCACUAUCUAAUAGUAAGAAGUGUAAAAAAAGAGAUUCCUUGUAUAUACAUUCGAACCACUGUUGGUCAUAUUUCUCUUUAUCGAGAAAUCGAAGAAGCCAUCCAAGGCUUUUGUCGGGCCUGCUCAUAUGAGACCUAAUCAUAUGAUACUUAGGCUAAGUAAUUAUAUGAUAUGAUACCGGUAUUAAUUCGGGUCUCUCCGGUUCAACUAGGAUCAUAGUUCUUGAAUUUCUACGCGAAGCAAGAUCGAGAAAAGGAAGUUUUACAACCACUGACUCAAACCCAUUGUCAAAUCCUACUCAGCGGAAUAUGGGGGUACUUAUGACAGAAAGGGCCAAUCUGGUCUUUCACAAUAAAGUGAUAGAUGGAACUGCCAUGAAACGACUUAUUAGCAGAUUAAUAGAUCACUUCGGAAUGGCAUAUACAUCACACAUCCUGGAUCAAGUAAAGACUCUGGGUUUCCAGCAAGCCACUGCUACAUCCAUUUCAUUAGGAAUUGAUGAUCUUUUAACAAUACCUUCUAAAGGAUGGCUAGUCCAAGAUGCUGAACAACAAAGUUUGAUUUUGGAAAAACACCAUCAUUAUACUGUGCAUGAGAUAUAGGUAGGAGAGCACAA
rnacentral:lncRNA from 1 species